rnacentral:rRNA from 1 species
GAUGAACGCUAGCGACAGGCUUAACACAUGCAAGUCGAGGGGCAGCAUAAAAGUAGCAAUACUUUGGUGGCGACCGGCGCACGGGUGAGUAACGCGUAUGCAACCUACCUAUCAGAGGGGAAUAACCCGGCGAAUGUCGGACUAAUACCGCAUAAAACAGGGGCACCGCAUGGUGAUAUUUGUUAAAGAAAUUAGCUGAUAGAUGGGCAUGCGUUCCAUUAGGUAGUUGGUGAGGUAACGGCUCACCAAGCCGACGAUGGAUAGGGGAACUGAGAGGUUGGUCCCCCACACUGGUACUGAGACACGGACCAGACUCCUACGGGAGGCAGCAGUGAGGAAUAUUGGUCAAUGGGCGAGAGCCUGAACCAGCCAAGUCGCGUGAAGGAAGAAGGAUUUAUGGUUCGUAAACUUCUUUUGCAGGGGAAUAAAGUGCAGGACGUGUCCUGUUUUGUAUGUACCCUGAGAAUAAGGAUCGGCUAACUCCGUGCCAGCAGCCGCGGUAACAC